ACGGAGGGGGCCAGCGUUGUCCGAAGUUACUGGGCGUAAAGCGCGCGUAGGCGGGAGAGUAAGUCCACUGUGAAAGCCCGAGGCUUAACCUCGGAGGGUCGGUGGAGACUGCUCUUCUUGAGGGCGGCAGAGAGAAGUGGAAUGGCGGGUGUAGCGGUGAAAUGCGUAGAUAUCCGUCGGAACACCGGUGGCGAAGGCGGCUUCUUGGGCCGCUCCUGACGCUGAGGCGCGAAAGCCAGGGGAGCGAACGGGA
rnacentral:rRNA from 1 species